rnacentral:rRNA from 1 species
GAUGAACGCUGGCGGCGUGCCUAAUACAUGCAAGUAGAACGCUGAAGCUUGGUGCUUGCACCGAGCGGAUGAGUUGCGAACGGGUGAGUAACGCGUAGGUAACCUGCCUCUUAGCGGGGGAUAACUAUUGGAAACGAUAGCUAAUACCGCAUAAAAGUCGAUAUCGCAUGAUAUUGAUUUGAAAGGUGCAAAUGCAUCACUAAGAGAUGGACCUGCGUUGUAUUAGCUAGUUGGUGAGGUAACGGCUCACCAAGGCGACGAUACAUAGCCGACCUGAGAGGGUGAUCGGCCACACUGGGACUGAGACACGGCCCAGACUCCUACGGGAGGCUGCAGUAGGGAAUCUUCGGCAAUGGGGGCAACCCUGACCGAGCAACGCCGCGUGAGGGAAGAAGGUUUUCGGAUCGUAAAGCUCUGUUGUAAGAGAAGAACGAGUGUGAGAGUGGAAAGUUCACACUGUGACGGUAACUUACCAGAAAGGGACGGCUAACUACGUG